AGGCUCCACUCCUGGUGGUGCCCUUCCGUCAAUUCCUUUAAGUUUCAGCUUUGCAACCAUACUUCCCCCGGAACCCAAAAGCUUUGGUUUCCCGGAAGCUGCCCGCCGAGUCAUCGGAGGAACGUCGGCGGAUCGCUAGCUGGCAUCGUUUAUGGUCAGAACUAGGGCGGUAUCUGAUCGCCUUCGAACCUCUGACUUUCGUUCUUGAUUAAUGAAAACAUUUUUGGCAAAUGCUUUCGCUUCUGUCCGUCUUGCGACGAUCCAAGAAUUUCACCUCUAACGUCGCAAUACGAAUGCCCCCAUCUGUCCCUAUUAAUCAUUACCUCGGGGUUCCGAAAACCAACAAAAUAGAACCGAGGUCCUGUUCCAUUAUUCCAUGCACACAGUAUUCAGGCGAAAUUUUAGCCUGCUUUGAGCACUCUAAUUUGUUCAAAGUAAACGUGCCGGCCCGCCUCGACACUCAAUUAAGAGCACCGCGACAGGAUUAUUGAGUCGGACGGUAAAGCGCCUGCAACCCCACCACAUCAUACAGUAACAACCGAAGUUGCACACGCACAAUGGGGAAGCAUACAGGGUCUACGCGUCCACCGGCAGGACGUUCCGCGGACGUGCCAGUUAAACACCGCGGGCGGUGAACCGACAGCGCGGAACACAAAUUCAACUACGAGCUUUUUAACCGCAACAACUUUAAUAUACGCUAUUGGAGCUGGAAUUACCGCGGCUGCUGGCACCAGACUUGCC
rnacentral:rRNA from 1 species